UUGUCCCUGUCGCCAUCAAUACAAAGCAAAGUGUAUUUUAUGGGACCUCAGUUCGCGGCUACAAACUACUGGACCCUUAUUUCGUGUUCAUGAAUCCCAUGCCAACAUAUGAGAUCACUUUCUUGAACCAGUUGCCCACUGAGCUCACCUGCAAGGGAGGGAAAUCCGCAAUUGAAGUCGCGAAUUACAUUCAAAGGGUUCUCUCGGGUGCUCUUGGGUUUGAGUGCACCAAUUUGACAAGGAAGGACAAGUAUGCUAUGCUUGCAGGAACAGAUGGAACAGUUCCACAAAAGAAGGCUUGAAAUAGAGAGGGACAAAGUAAAUCCCUUUGGUUUCCACCAGGUGUUUUCAAAAUGGUAAGAAUUAUCAGAGUAAUAAAAAAAGGAUUGUGUUUAUGCUCAUAAAAAUAACACUUUAUGUAUAUUGUUAUUCUGAUAAAUACAAAUUACAGUAAGUCAUGCAAUCUAUUUUCAACCGUUUUUUGCAACAAUGUAUUAAUAGCUUAUGACAAAAUAUAGUACUGAUUGAGAUGUUGCAAUGCCAUGUGUAUGAUCCUAAGGUACAAGAAGUAAAAGCAUUGCUUCAGUGCCAUUUAUUUGCAGACAAAUCUAGUUAGGAGGCUUUCAAUGGUGUCUAAAUAUAUGUAACUUAAAGUUAAUGAAAUACACU
rnacentral:lncRNA from 1 species